rnacentral:lncRNA from 1 species
ACUGAAAGGUUUGAAGCACAAGAGUAGCAUGAAACAAUUUAAAUGAUGUAUUUGAAAUGCAUAGUUUUUAAAAUGCUGUGCUGUGUGAAGAACAAGGAACAAGAGAAGUGGAAGGAGAAAAACCAAUUAGGAGGCUACUGUCUUAGGUCAGAGGAGAGAUGGUGGUGGCCUGGACUGAAGGGUGGCAGGGCAAGUGGAGAGAGAGAAGGGUAUAAAUUUGAGGCACCUGCUGGAGGUAAAUUGGCAGGACUUGGUGGGGUAUGGGAUGUGGAGAGUGAGAGAACGGAGAGAUCAGGAAUGACUCCCAUUCUUUUGGUCUUGUAAACUGGUGGACAAUUGUGCCAUUUACUGAGAUGGGGAAAGAGGUAGAAACAGAUUUGGGAAGAGGAAUAAAGUGGUUUUCCAUGUUUAGGAUAUAUGGAGGAUAUUCAAAUGAAAAAGUCAAGUAGAUAGAUAGAUGGAACUGCUAGAACAGCACUCAGGAGAGAAAGUUGGAGGUCAUCACUGUAUAGAUGGUAUUGAAAGUGUGGCAAUAGGUGAGUUCACUCAGAGAGAAUAUACAGUUAGAGAAGUGGGGGGCAAGGCUUGGGACAUCCGACAUUUAGACAGGAGUAAAGGGGGAGUCAACAGAAAGGGAUACGAGAAAGACAGACCUGAGAUGGGGGAAGCAGGAGGAAUGGAGUGUUGAGAGCCUGGAGAAAGUGUCUCGAGGGAGGAGGGAAGUGUCGAAUGCUGCUGAGAACCAAGAUGAGGACAGCAGAGUGUCCACAGGAUUGGGCAACAUGGAAGCUACUAGCGACCUCCCCAAGCUGUUGAGUGGAUUGGUGGGGCAGCCGCCAGAUUGAAGUGGGCAGGAGAGUGAUCGGGAGGUGAAGUGGAGGCAGUGUAUGCCCACAACUCUUCUGAGUUGUUUGGCUACAAAAGGGAGCAGAAAUGGAACAGAAGAAGAGGUACAACUGCAGGCGGCUUUUUUUUUUUUUUUUUUGAGACAGAGUCAGGCUCUGUUGCCCCAGCUGGAAUGCAAUGCGCGAUCUUGGCUCACCACAACCUCUGCCUCCCGGGUUCAAGCGAUUCUCCCACCUCAGCCUCCUGAGUAGGUGGGAUUACAGGAGUGCGCCACCAGCCCAGCUGAUUUUUUGUAUUUUUAGUAGAGACGGGAUUUCGCCAUGUUGGGCAGGCUGGUCUUGAACUCCUGACCUCAGGUGAUCUGCCCGCCUGGGCCUCCCAAAGUGCUGGGAUUACAGGUGUGAACCACCACACCCAGCCAGCUUUUUCAAAGAUGACAGAGAACAGAGCACAUCCCUGCCUUGCUGCGAAUGAUCCAAAGGUGAGAUCCCUGAGAAGGUGAGAUGCUGCGCUCAGAGGGAGGGUGUG